rfam:Solanum lycopersicum cultivar Heinz 1706 chromosome 12, whole genome shotgun sequence.
AUGAAGUGAAGAUAGAAUUCAUAUGUUAAUUCACUGAAUUACAUUUUUAUGAUGUUCAAAGUGAAUCUCGACAGGUUCUGAUCGU